rnacentral:tRNA from 1 species
CGCGGAGUAGAGAAGAGGUAUCUCACAAGGCUCAUAACCUUGGGACCCCCGUUCGAUUCGGGGCUCCGCAA